UACGGAGGAUCCAAGCGUUAUCCGGAAUCGUUGGGCUUAAAGGGUCCGUAGGCGGGAUAAUAAGUCAGUGGUGAAAGUCCGCAGCUCAACCGUAGAAUUGCCAUUGAUACUGUUGUUCUUGAGUGUUUAUGAAGUGGUUAGAAUAUGUAGUGUAGCGGUGAAAUGCAUAGAUAUUACAUAGAAUACCGAUUGCGAAGGCGGACCACUAAUAAAAUACUGACGCUGAUGGACGAAAGCGUGGGGAGCAAACAGG
rnacentral:misc_RNA from 1 species